rnacentral:misc_RNA from 1 species
GUAGUUUUAAUGGAUUAGUAUGUGCUCAACUACUUAAAAAGUAUGCGUAUAUUAAAUACAAAUAAAGGUACGCUUUUAUUAUUAAAUUGUUAAUCAAAGCAUUUUUGUAGAUAUUUUGAAAUUUGAUGCACAUUAUUAUAAAAGCGAACAUUUGGGUCCAAAAGCUAGAAUUUUUAGCUUGUACAGCUUUUGCAACUGUUAGUUAUAAGAAUCAAUGGCCAGCUUUUAGAAUUUCAACCACCAGAUUUGUUCUUUGGUUUACCAAACACUUAUGGUCAGGCAGUUGAAGUUUAAACUGCCAACUAGCUUCAAAAGUUGAACCGAAAAUGCACCUAUUCAACCAAUUACAACUCACGCAUUACAUCAAGACUCAAGUUGCACAAAUGCAUACCUGGAGAGCUUGUUUUCCAGAAA